UUGUUUUCUCUAUUGUAAUUCAUGUCGCUAGAGCUAAUAGAAUUGCACUUGCACCUGCUGUUCUUGCCAGCAUUUAUAGAGAUAUGACUAUGUUGAAAGGGAAAAUAGCUGAGUCAACCUUGUUGGGGACUCCAAAGGGAAUACAUGAUGGUUUAACAGCUAAGCUUUGGUCAUCAACUUAAUGAGUUCAGGUUUGGGUUUGGAAGAGGUUCGAUGAACUGCAGCGGCCGGAGCCUAAUCUGAUGAUGAGUGGGUACCCUAGGUUGGCUCGGUGGAACAUUGAAACAGAAAGUUGAGAAUGUUUCGUUGGGUAUAGACUCGGAUAAAGAGAGUUUUAGCUCUGGAAAACUGGGAUUUCCUCAAGUUUUAUGGAGAAAAAGAAAUGUGGGCGACUGCUGGUUCUAGUUUGAAUGACGAAUUAAUGGCAUUUGCUCGAUGCGUCUGGGUUUCAAUGCUGGGUGGAGUUGGCUGUUCAGAACAGUAUUUACCGCAUAGGGUUGCAAUGCAAUUCGGAACUGACGGAGAUCUUUCAGGGUUGUGUUGGUCAAUGCUCUAAUUAACAGACCUGAGAUUGCAUAGAGCUUCAAGCUUUUGUUGAAGAGCUUGAGCAGAUGAUCACACGAAUAAAAGCAGCAAGAUUAAGACUAAAAUUGUUAACCUAGCUAGCCUUCUUCGUGAGAAUGAUUUGCUUGAUUUUAUUUUAUUUGAAUUCAUGGCUUCUCGUCUUCUGUUGGCUAUGCUACUAGCAUGGUAGUAGGCAUCGCAGCAGGUUCCUAUAUAGAUAACUCCCACCAUUGACGACAGAUGCAAAACAAGGUUAAAAGGAUAAUAGAAAUAAAUAUAUUCAUAUAGUAACCAUGCACUAUGGCGUGCAGACAAAUGCCGUGUGCUGCUGGACCCAACACACAGUCUACAAGGCGCCAUCUGUUCUGCCCAUCCAAUCAUGACAAGAUAAGCACUUGAGAGUUUAUUUGAUUUUAUCCGGUUGAUUUGAAGUGUGUGUUUUGAUAUAUAAAUUUUUUAAGGAAGAGAUAUUUUUCUUUAAUAUUUAGAACAAUGAUAUUUGUAGUUUAACUCCCUAAAUAUAUGAUUUGUAUUUUUGUUUAAUAAUUUUAUGUUUUAAAAAUAUCUUUUAUUUGUUUAUAUAAUAAUUAAAAUAAAGGCAAUAGAAACCAGUAGAAUUCAGCAUAUUUAAUUGUGAUGUUUGAUUCAUAUUGUGAUAAUAUUAUAAAUAAUAAAUUCAAAUAAAUUAUGAUGAUUAAAUCAAAAUUUAAUUAAAUAUUAAAAAAAAUUAAUAUUAAAAUGAUGAUAUAUUAAAUUAACUUGAAUUUUAUUAUUUAAAUUGUAAAACCCACAAUUUAAAUCAUGAGCUUAACUUAAAUGUUUUUUUUGAAAAUAAGAUUGUUACGAUGAUCAAGUACAAACAAAAAUAAUAAUUCAAGAUUUUUAUUAAAAGUAGAAUCCGUUAUACAUGUUUAUCAUUGAGUUAUAACCGGUCCGUAUAUGAAAAGGAAUGAAUUUGGGAUAGUUAUUAAACCCGGUUAACCCGGUGGCUGGACUGGUCUAGGUUUGUUAAAAGACUGGCCGGUGCAAUGACUCGGCAAAACUCGGUUGACCCAUGAUCCGGGCGAGACCUGAUGUUUUUUUUUCAAAUGUGGUUUUUCUUUUAUAUUUCUUUUUUUUUCAUAUUUUUUUAGUUGGUUAUUAACACUUUUUAAAGUUUCCUAUAGAAAAAUGUUAUUUUUUUGUUGUGGGAUUUCAAACCCUUUCAUAUAUAUACUUUAUGUUCACAAGAAAAAAAAUGUUGUUUUUUUAAUGUGGGAUUUGAAAUCCUUUAGUAUAUAUACUCUAUGUUCCCAAGCAAAAGGUUAUUUUUUCAAUAUGAGAUUUGAAACCCUUUAGCAUAUAUAUUCUAUGUUUCAAAAAAAAAGUUGUUUUUUCAAUAUGAGAUUUGAAAUCUUUUCAUAUAUAUAUAUUUUAUGUUCAUAAGAAAAAUAUUUUGUUUUUUCAAAGUGGGAUAACAAACUUUUUAGUUUAAAUACUUUAACUUAAAAGAAUGACAUAAUAUCUUUUCAAUGUGAAAUUUGAAACUCUUUAAUAUAUAUACUCCAGGUUCCCAAGAAAAAAAUUAUUUUUUCAAUGUGAGAUUUGAAAUCCUUUCGUAUAUAUAUUCUAUAUGCAUAAGAAAAAAAUUAUAUUUUUUUAAUGUAGGAUAAAUUUUUUUUUAAUUUAAAAAAAUAAUAUAAUAUUUUUUUAAUAUGAGAUAAAAAUUUCUUAAAAUAUUCUAUUAAAUCGAAAAGUAGCUACUAAAACUAGUAACUGUUUCUUUACUUUUAUAUAUAUAUAGGCAGGCCCACGAGGAAUGGACUGGUCCAAAUUUCUGGCGUUAUCGUGCGAUUACACGCGAGAAAUCUACCAAGCCCGAGCGGGCGGAAAACUUUUGAUACCAUCGUAGAUUGAUUACAGAUCUGAAUCCUCUGUAUAAAUUAACUGAUAUUGUGAAGAACCCUUGUCAUUGUAAACACAACUUUUCAAAAUUAUAAAGCAUCUACUUUUCUGGCGCUGCUCUUCGACAACCAGCUUUUUUCAAGGAAAACAUGGUGAAAUCUAGGGUUAAGAUUAAAAAAGAAGAUGCAAGGGAAGAUGAAGAUGAAGAUGAAGUACAACAAUCAGAUUAGCGAGAAGAACAAGCAUCAAAUUUCUGGAUGGAGAAUUAUCGUAUUGUAAUGAGAAGUUCCAGUUUUCCAGACUGCAACUGUAGAAAUGACAAGGACACCUGCUAAGAAGGCCAGUAAUCUGUCGUGAAUGAGGAAAUUCAUGGAUAGUGGCAGCGAGAUUUAGCAUGAAGCAUUUAACUUGUUUUCUCUAUUGUAAUUCAUGUCGCUAGAGCUAAUAGAAUUGCACUUGCACCUGCUGACUGCUGUUCUUUCCAGCAUUUAUAGAGAUAUGACUUGGUUGAAAAGGGAAAAUCGCAGAGUCAACCUUGUUGGGGGUUCCAUAGGGAAAAUAUGAUGGUUUAACAGUUAAGAUUUGGUCGUCAAUGCAAUUAGUUGAGGUUCGGGUUUGGAAGAGGUUAAAAAAACUGCAGCGGCCGGAGCCUAAUCUGAUGAAGAGUGGGUACCCUAGGUUGGCUGGGUGGGAUAAAUUGAAACAGGAUGUUGAGAAUGUUUCGUUGGUUCUAGACUCGGAUAAAGAGAGUUUUAGCUCUGGAAAACUGGGAUUUCCUCAAGUUUUAUGGAGAAAAAGAAAUGUGGGCGACUGUUGGUUCUUGUUUGAAUGACGAAUUAAUGGCUCGAUGCGUCUGGGUUUCAAUGCUGGGUGGAGGUGGCUGUUCAGAACAGUAUUUACCGCAUAGGGUUGCAAUGCAAUUCGGAACUGACGAAGAUCUUCAGGGUUGUGUUGGUCAAUGCUCUAAGUAACAGACCUGAGAUUGCAUAGAGCUUGAAGCUUUUGUUGAAGAGCUUGAGCAGAUGAUCACACGAAUAAAAGCAGCAAGAUUAAGACUAAAUUGUUAACCUAGCUAGCCUUCUUCGUGAGAAUGAUUUGCUUGAUUUUAUUUGCUUUGCUAGUUAUAUUAGUAACUCAAGUUUGACAAAUGAAGCAGAUGAAAGUGUUUGGGCUUUAGCUUUUCAUGACCGGGAGAUUGAAUUCCUGGCUUCUCUUCUUCUGUUUGCUAUGCUUACUAACAUGGUAGUGGAGCUUUGGACUGUCAGGCAUGGCGUCACUAUGAAACCCCCCCCCCCCCCAAUGAAGUUGAAUAUGACUCCUCGGAAGCUCUUCGAUGCCAGUCUUCACAUCUUAUUGUAUUCGCUUCUAACUUGUUUGGUGUCUUUUCAGAAUGGAUCUUGAGAAGGUUAAAAGGAUAAAAGAAAUAAAUAUAGCAACCAUUGCAGCAUGGCAUGAAGUUAUCACAGUGUGCAGACAAAUGAGGUGUGCUGGACCCAACGCAGAGUCUACUAGGCGUUUUCUGUUCUGCCCACCGAUUCUGACAAGAUUUGAUUUGACUUGAUUUGAAGUUUUGUAUUUUGAUAUAAUUUUUUUUAAAAGAGAUAUUUUUUUAAAAUAUUAAAAUUAAUUUAAUAUUUAUAGUUUAACCUUUCAAAAAAAUUGUUAGUGGUAUCUUCAACAGUUUAACAAUUUUAUUUUUUUAAAUAUAUAAUAAUAAAAAUAAAAAUUUAUAAAAUUAAACAUUAACUAAAUAUUAUAAUAUUUAAUUGAAACUAUAAUAAUUUUAUAAAAACAUUAUAAUAACAAAAAAUAAUAAAGAUUAUUAUGAUAAACCAUCACCGUAAUAUUUUUCAAUUCUAAAG
rnacentral:lncRNA from 1 species